rnacentral:rRNA from 1 species
GACGGACGCUGGCGGCGUGCUUAACACAUGCAAGUCGAACGGAAAGGCCCUGCUUUUGUGGGGUGCUCGAGUGGCGAACGGGUGAGUAACACGUGAGUAACCUGCCCUUGACUUUGGGAUAACUUCAGGAAACUGGGGCUAAUACCGGAUAGGAGCUCCUGCUGCAUGGUGGGGGUUGGAAAGUUUCGGCGGUUGGGGAUGGACUCGCGGCUUAUCAGCUUGUUGGUGGGGUAGUGGCUUACCAAGGCUUUGACGGGUAGCCGGCCUGAGAGGGUGACCGGCCACAUUGGGACUGAGAUACGGCCCAGACUCCUACGGGAGGCAGCAGUGGGGAAUAUUGCACAAUGGGCGGAAGCCUGAUGCAGCAACGCCGCGUGCGGGAUGACGGCCUUCGGGUUGUAAACCGCUUUCGCCUGUGACGAAGCGUGAGUGACGGUAAUGGGUAAAGAAGCACCGGCUAACUACGUGCCAGCAGCCGCGGUGAUACGUAGGGUGCGAGCGUUGUCCGGAUUUAUUGGGCGUAAAGGGCUCGUAGGUGGUUGAUCGCGUCGGAAGUGUAAUCUUGGGGCUUAACCCUGAGCGUGCUUUCGAUACGGGUUGACUUGAGGAAGGUAGGGGAGAAUGGAAUUCCUGGUGGAGCGGUGGAAUGCGCAGAUAUCAGGAGGAACACCAGUGGCGAAGGCGGUUCUCUGGGCCUUUCCUGACGCUGAGGAACGAAAGCGUGGGGAGCGAACAGGCUUAGAUACCCUGGUAGUCCGCGCUGUAAACGGUGGGUACUAGGUGUGGGGUCCAUUCCACGGGUUCCGUGCCGUAGCUAACGCUUUAAGUACCCCGCCUGGGGAGUACGGCCGCAAGGCUAAAACUCAAAGGAAUUGACGGGGCCCCGCACAAGCGGCGGAGCAUGCGGAUUAAUUCGAUGCAACGCGUAGAACCUUACCUGGGUUUGACAUGGAUCGGGAGUGCUCAGAGAUGGGUGUGCCUCUUUUGGGGUCGGUUCACAGGUGGUGCAUGCCUGUCGUCAGCUCGUGUCGUGAGAUGUUGGGUUAAGUCCCGCAACGAGCGCAACCCUUGUUCACUGUUGCCAGCACGUUAUGGUGGGGACUCAGUGGAGACCGCCGGGGUCAACUCGGAGGAAGGUGGGGAUGACGUCAAGUCCUCAUGCCCCUUAUGUCCAGGGCUUCACGCAUGCUACAAUGGCUGGUACAGAGAGUGGCGAGCCUGUGAGGGUGAGCGAAUCUCGGAAAGCCGGUCUCAGUUCGGAUUGGGGUCUGCAACUCGACCUCAUGAAGUCGGAGUCGCUAGUAAUCGCAGAUCAGCAACGCUGCGGUGAAUACGUUCCCGGGGCU